rnacentral:rRNA from 1 species
ACAUGCAAGUCGAGCGCAGGAAAUAAACAGAACCCUUCGGGGUAAUGUUUAUGGAAUGAGCGGCGGACGGGUGAGUAACACGUGGGCAACCUGCCUGUAAGAUCGGGAUAACUCGCGGAAACGUGAGCUAAUACCGGAUAACACUUUUCAUCUCAUGGUGAGAAGAUAAAAGACGGUUUCGGCUGUCACUUACAGAUGGGCCCGCGGCGCAUUAGCUAGUUGGUGAGGUAACGGCUCACCAAGGCGACGAUGCGUAGCCGACCUGAGAGGGUGAUCGGCCACACUGGGACUGAGACACGGCCCAGACUCCUACGGGAGGCAGCAGUAGGGAAUCUUCCGCAAUGGACGAAAGUCUGACGGAGCAACGCCGCGUGAGUGAUGAAGGUUUUCGGAUCGUAAAACUCUGUUGUUAGGGAAGAACAAGUUGGGUAGUAACUGACCCAACCUUGACGGUACCUAACCAGAAAGCCACGGCUAACUACGUGCCAGCAGCCGCGGUAAUACGUAGGUGGCAAGCGUUGUCCGGAAUUAUUGGGCGUAAAGCGCUCGCAGGCGGUCUUUUAAGUCUGAUGUGAAAGCCCACGGCUUAACCGUGGAGGGUCAUUGGAAACUGGAGGACUUGAGUACAGAAGAGGAGAGUGGAAUUCCACGUGUAGCGGUGAAAUGCGUAGAGAUGUGGAGGAACACCAGUGGCGAAGGCGACUCUCUGGUCUGUAACUGACGCUGAGGAGCGAAAGCGUGGGUAGCGAACAGGAUUAGAUACCCUGGUAGUCCACGCCGUAAACGAUGAGUGCUAGGUGUUAGGGGGUUUCCGCCCCUUAGUGCUGAAGUUAACGCAUUAAGCACUCCGCCUGGGGAGUACGGCCGCAAGGCUGAAACUCAAAAGAAUUGACGGGGGCCCGCACAAGCGGUGGAGCAUGUGGUUUAAUUCGAAGCAACGCGAAGAACCUUACCAGGUCUUGACAUCCUCUGAUACCUCUAGAGAUAGAGUUUUCCCUUCGGGGACAGAGUGACAGGUGGUGCAUGGUUGUCGUCAGCUCGUGUCGUGAGAUGUUGGGUUAAGUCCCGCAACGAGCGCAACCCUUGAUCUUAGUUGCCAGCAUUCAGUUGGGC